rnacentral:rRNA from 1 species
GACGUAGGGCGCGAGCGUUGUCCGGAUUUAUUGGGCGUAAAGAGCUCGUAGGCGGCUUGUCGCGUCGACUGUGAAAACCCGCGGCUCAACUGCGGGCCUGCAGCCGAUACGGGCAGGCUAGAGUUCGGUAGGGGAGACUGGAAUUCCUGGUGUAGCAGUGAAAUGCGUAGAUAUCAGGAGGAAUACCGAUGGCGAGGGCAGGUCUCUGGGCUGACACUGACGCUCAUGCACGAAAGCGUGGGGAGCAAACAGG